GGUAGGGGUCCGAAUGGACGAGGAGCUUCACUUGAAAUGAAGUAAGCGGCCAUGCCGCUUGGGGGUUCGAUUCCUCUCCCUACCG
rnacentral:tRNA from 1 species